rnacentral:rRNA from 1 species
GACAAGGUUCCAGGCCCUACGGGGUGCAGCAGGCGCGAAACCUCCGCAAUGUGAGAAAUCGCGACGGGGGGAUCCCAAGUGCUAUUCUUAACGGGAUGGCUUUUCAUUAGUGUAAAGAGCUUUUGGAAUAAGGGCUGGGCAAGACCGGUGCCAGCCGCCGCGGUAACACCGGCAGCUCUAGUGGUAGCAGUUUUUAUUGGGCCUAAAGCGUCCGUAGCCGGCUUAAUAAGUCUCUGGUGAAAUCCUGUAGCUUAACUGUGGGAAUUGCUGGAGAUACUAUUAGACUUGAGACCGGGAGAGGUUAGAGGUACUCCCAGGGUAGAGGUGAAAUUCUGUAAUCCUGGGAGGACCGCCUGUUGCGAAGGCGUCUAACUGGAACGGUUCUGACGGUGAGGGACGAAAGUUAGGGGCGCGAACCGGAUUAGAUACCCGGGUAGUCCCAACUGUAAACGAUGCGGACUUGGUGUUGGGGUGGCUUUGAGCUGCUCCAGUGCCGAAGGGAAGCUGUUAAGUCCGCCGCCUGGGAAGUACGGUCGCAAGACUGAAACUUAA